UGUUAUACUUCAGGAACGACUGUGAUGAACGAAUAAAUAUGGGAGAUGAAAUGUUCAGCGCUUUAAAAAAACUUGGCCUCUAAUAGUAUUUUGGAGCUGCUUCAGUGUAGUAGCUUGGGGCAGAGUAGUACUUUGGAGCCUCAGUGUAAUAGCUGGGAGCCGCAUAAGUGUUGGUGUAGUAUUCGGGCGCCUUUGUAGUGUAGUAUUUUGGAGCCUCUGUAUAGUAGCUAGGAGUGGCAUAUGAUGUGGUGUAGUAUUCAGGUGCCUUGGUGGUGUAGUACUGUGUAAGUAGUAAGUAAGUAGUGAGAAUGCCAUUGCAAUGUCAAACUCUAACUGGAAUCGUAGGAUUGACAAUAAUUGUCAUAAAUAAACAAUAAGGAUCCUACAUAAGAUUGUCGUUGCUUUUUCAACGGGUAACUGAUUGAAUGAUAGAAUGACAAGGGACAUUGCUUAAUGCUUAUACGGGUAAAUACAAAUCUAAAUACUGAAAUCUAAUUGUAAAUUGAAUUCGGCGAUUAAUAUUUGCGCUCUCGUUUCGUAUAACUCUUAGCCGAUGCAUAAACCCAUUAGUGUCGACAUCGGCCGCAAGGUGAUAUGGAAGAUUCUAUUCUUGCAUGUCAUUAACGGUGUUGAUGCGUGAUGCCACACCCUAAAUCGAAAACCCACGAUAGCGAUGGAAAUGCAGCAUGAGAGGAUCUUCGCUACACCACACAGUGCAAUAGAGGCGGGG